UACGUAGGGUGCAAGCGUUGUUCGGAAUUACUGGGCGUAAAGCGCACGUAGGCGGAUUUGUAAGUCCAGGGGUGAAAUCCCGGGGCUCAACCUCGGAACUGGCCUUUGAUACUGCAAGUCUUGAGUCCGGAAGAGGUGAGUGGAAUUCCUAGUGUAGAGGUGAAAUUCGUAGAUAUUAGGAAGAACACCGGUGGCGAAGGCGGCCCAACUG
rnacentral:rRNA from 1 species